GUAGAAGGGGGUUAGUGGUUAGAGCGUAGGUCUCGUAAACGAAAGGUUGCGAGAUCGAAUCCCGCUAGA
rnacentral:tRNA from 1 species